rnacentral:rRNA from 1 species
AUUGAACGCUGGCGGCAUGCUUUACACAUGCAAGUCGAACGGUAACAGGGAGCUUGCUCCGCUGACGAGUGGCGAACGGGUGAGUAAUGCAUCGGAACGUACCCAGUCGUGGGGGAUAACGUAGCGAAAGUUACGCUAAUACCGCAUACGUCCUGAGGGAGAAAGCGGGGGACCGUAAGGCCUCGCGCGAUUGGAGCGGCCGAUGUCGGAUUAGCUAGUUGGUAGGGUAAAGGCCUACCAAGGCGACGAUCCGUAGCGGGUCUGAGAGGAUGAUCCGCCACACUGGGACUGAGACACGGCCCAGACUCCUACGGGAGGCAGCAGUGGGGAAUUUUGGACAAUGGGGGCAACCCUGAUCCAGCCAUGCCGCGUGUCUGAAGAAGGCCUUCGGUUGUAAGGAC